AAGUAUUUCCCAAAGCAAUUUUCUGGCAAGAUCAGUAGUUUAUUGCAAUCAUCAAGGCAAAAAAAAAAAAAAAAAUGGUGAGGGCAUGAAUCAGAAUAAAAGGAAGGGAAAAGAAGAAAAACUUGAAACCCUUUAGAGGUGGAAAUGAGAGAAUGCAGUACUUUUCUGAUCGUUAAAUCUCCUAUAAAUAGCUCGCCAUUUUCACUGUCAGUAAAUAUACAACACUCCACAAGCUGAAACCUAUGUAACUUCGCUGGAGCCUUCACAGGUGUUUAUGAAUGGCGUAAUCUGCUGGCUCACUGAAUGCUGACGCUGUUGGAAUAGCUCUGAGCAGUGGGCACCUAAAACCAUUGCUUUUACAUUGGGCCUCCUGAUUCUUGCCCUUGGCACUUGGGUCAUUUCUAAAUAUGGUCACUUCUUAUCCUUUUGAAGUCUGUGCUGUGAUGUGCUCUAAGAA
rnacentral:lncRNA from 1 species